rnacentral:rRNA from 1 species
UACGAAGGGGGCUAGCGUUGUUCGGAAUUACUGGGCGUAAAGCGUGCGCAGGCGGUUCUGAAAGUCAGCUGUGAAAGCCCCGGGCUUAACCUGGGAACUGCGGUUGAAACUACAGGACUAGAAUCUGGCAGAGGGGGGUGGAAUUCCACGUGUAGCAGUGAAAUGCGUAGAGAUGUGGAGGAACACCGAUGGCGAAGGCAGCCCCCUGGGCUGAGAUUGACGCUCAGGCACGAAAGCGUGGGGAGCAAACAGG